CCUUCACAGGGGCGGUUCAACCACGAGGCAAUUUAGACACUUUCCUGUGGCGCCAUCCUCUAGGGGGUGCAGUCGAGGUGCUCCUGUGUGUGCGUGCAUGUGCGCGCACCCCCACCUUCUCCCUGGGUCGCUCCGGCCUGGGCCCGCCUUCAGGCCUUCGUCCAUGGGCCCGCCUUUGGGCCUUCGUCUGUGGGCCCGCCUUUGGGCCUGGGCCCGCCUUCAGACUGGGCCCGCCUUCGGGCCUGGGCCCACCUUCAGGCCUUCAGCCGUGGGCCUGCCUUCGGGGCCUGUGGCUGCCUCCGAAGCCAGGCCCACUUCUGGGGCCAGGCCCGCCUUAAUCCACACCUAUGGCAGGCAUCCUCAGAGGUUGUGAGGUCUGUUGGAAGCUAGAUCUUCCUCACAGGAACACCUCAGCAAGUGAGAGUCCAAAAGUGGCAGGCUAAAAUCCAAAACCUCAAUCAGUGGCCGAUGCCGGAUGAGAGACUCCCCCCGGGCACACAGAAGACUGGGCGACUUGGAAGGCACUGAACAGGAUGAGCUGUGGCACCACGAGAUGCAGAGCCAACCUUAAGAAAUGGGGCCACAAAGUAGAGUCCAUAACAUACGAGUGAGGAAAGAGCAAAUCAGACCACCUACUCCAAUGCAGUCUGAGCCCUGCCACAUGCACAAUGGAGGACCUUCUUAUAGUAAAACCAGAGGCACUCCAGAUGGCCAGCUACUUAUCAAAGGACAUUUAGCAUAAUGCCAAGAUUUUUUUAACUUUGCAUUUUUAAAUACAUUAUAACUUGUACCCUCGGUUCACUUCUGACACAAUAAAUAAAUACUUUUUAUUUCUAA